ensembl:snRNA U6 U6 spliceosomal RNA
GAGCUCUCCUCGGCAGCACAUAUACUGAAGCUGCAAGCACUCAGAGGAGAUCAGCACGGCCCCUGGGCAAGGAUGACACGCACAUUCAUGAAGCAUCUCCCGUUUUU